UUACGUGGACGACAGUCCCACAGAGGAGUACAAAAGUUCAUGAUUUGUUCCUGACCCAUGAGCAAACUUGCUGAGCUCCUCUCUGCUACUUGCUCUAAAAAAGCUCCAAACCCAAAGAAGCUGAUCUCACCAAUACUCAACAUUCUCUGUCCUCUGUAAGGUACAGAGUCUACACGAAAGAGGACCCCUGCGGGCAACAGGUUAUAUUUAUCCUACUGUGUGAUUCAUCAUAAAGAAGAUACAAACAGAUUAUUUACUUACAAUUAUAUUGCAGAUUGAACAUUGCAUAGUCAAGGUUCAAAAACCAAAUCACAUUAAAUAAUAUCUGAUGAUCUCCAGAUGUGAAAAUUACCUCCUACACA